rnacentral:rRNA from 1 species
UACGGAGGGUGCAAGCGUUAAUCGGAAUUACUGGGCGUAAAGCGCGCGUAGGCGGUUUAUUAAGUCAGAUGUGAAAGCCCCGGGCUUAACCUGGGAAUUGCAUUUGAGACUGGUAGGCUAGAGUGUGGUAGAGGUGAGUGGAAUUUCAGGUGUAGCGGUGAAAUGCGUAGAGAUCUGAAGGAACAUCAGUGGCGAAGGCGACUCACUGGGCCAUUACUGACGCUGAGGUGCGAAAGCGUGGGUAGCAAAC